rnacentral:rRNA from 1 species
AGAGUUUGAUCCUGGCUCAGAUUGAACGCUGGCGGCAGGCCUAACACAUGCAAGUCGAACGGUAACAGGAAGCAGCUUGCUGCUUCGCUGACGAGUGGCGGACGGGUGAGUAAUGUCUGGGAAGCUGCCUGAUGGAGGGGGAUAACUACUGGAAACGGUAGCUAAUACCGCAUAAUGUCGCAAGACCAAAGAGGGGGACCUUCGGGCCUCUUGCCAUCGGAUGUGCCCAGAUGGGAUUAGCUUGUUGGUGGGGUAACGGCUCACCAAGGCGACGAUCCCUAGCUGGUCUGAGAGGAUGACCAGCCACACUGGAACUGAGACACGGUCCAGACUCCU